AUACUCGAGUUUGAUUGGCUGGUGUGUGUUCAAACAGUUGAAUGCACUUGUUGUUCCAGUCAGUUUAAUCACCUCUAAAUUAAUGCGCAGCCUUCACUAAAGCACAAACAGGCGCACAGAAACGGAUUUCAUUGAUUUGAUGCGUUUCAAUACUAAUAUUUCUUUGGAUUUUUGUAGAAUUUUUAAUUAUCAUGUCCCAUGCACUCACGUUUGUUUUUGUUUCUCUCUGCAGAUAAGUUAUGUGAGUUGCUGAUAUCAAGGGAAAGCUAAAAAGAAAGCGUAAAUCAUCCUUGAGAACUUGAACCACGUACAAGAGAGUGUCCUUUACGUCCUAAAGCCAGUAAAAGCAAGAAGUUCUUUCACGAAUCAAGACUACAAAUCAAAGAGAUGUUUGACAGUCCUCCAAACAACUAACUGUCCACAAACACAGCCAGAUGGUGUGAUGGUGAUGGUCCCUUUCUGCCUUCAACUGUCCUUCAUAUAAUGAGGUGGAUGGAUAACGAGAACAAGAUAAAAUGGACCCAAUUCAACCUUAUGCUUUACAUUUCCAUGUGUUGGAAACCUGAAUAGAGUAUAAUUAAACCAGGAGUUGGACU